rnacentral:tRNA from 1 species
GGGGCUAUAGCUCAGUUGGUAGAGCGUCUCGUUCGCAAUGAGAAGGUCAGCGGUUCGAACCCGCUUAGCUCCACCA